rnacentral:rRNA from 1 species
GUUUGAUCAUGGCUCAGGAUGAACGCUGGCGGCGUGCUUAACACAUGCAAGUCGAACGAUGACCCGGUGCUUGCACCGGUGAUUAAUGGCGAACGGGUGAGUAACACGUGAGUAACCUGCCCUUAACUCUGGGAUAAGCCUGGGAAACUGGGUCUAAUACCGGAUAUGACUCCUCAUCGCAUGGUGGGGGGUGGAAAGCUUUAUUGUGGUUUUGGAUGGACUCGCGGCCUAUCAGCUUGUUGGUGAGGUAAUGGCUCACCAAGGCGACGACGGGUAGCCGGCCUGAGAGGGUGACCGGCCACACUGGGACUGAGACACGGCCCAGACUCCUACGGGAGGCAGCAGUGGGGAAUAUUGCACAAUGGGCGCAAGCCUGAUGCACCGACGCCGCGUGAGGGAUGACGGCCUUCGGGUUGUAAACCUCUUUCAGUAGGGAAGAAGCUAAAGUGAC